ACCCAAUAGCUAGCCCCCCCACUAACAAGCAACACACCACCAUAACUACCCCCACAUGCACUAAAUAAGAUUAAACAAACCAUUUUUCCCCCUAAGUAUGGGCGACAGAAAAGGAACAUUGGAGCAAUAGAGAAAGUACCGCAAGGGAAAGCUGAAAGAGAAAUGAAACAACCCAGUUAAGUUUAAAGAAGCAGAGAUUAAACCUCGUACUU
rnacentral:rRNA from 1 species